rnacentral:rRNA from 1 species
AUUGAACGCUGGCGGCAGGCCUAACACAUGCAAGUCGAGCGGAUGACGGGAGCUUGCUCCUUGAUUCAGCGGCGGACGGGUGAGUAAUGCCUAGGAAUCUGCCUGGUAGUGGGGGACAACGUUUCGAAAGGAACGCUAAUACCGCAUACGUCCUACGGGAGAAAGCAGGGGACCUUCGGGCCUUGCGCUAUCAGAUUAGCCUAGGUCGGAUUAGCUAGUUGGUGAGGUAAUGGCUCACCAAGGCGACGAUCCGUAACUGGUCUGAGAGGAUGAUCAGUCACACUGGAACUGAGACACGGUCCAGACUCCUACGGGAGGCAGCAGUGGGGAAUAUUGGACAAUGGGCGAAAGCCUGAUCCAGCCAUGCCGCGUGUGUGAAGAGGGUCUUCGGAUUGUAAGGCACUUUAAGUUGGGAGGAAGGGCAGUAAGUUAAUACCUUGCUGUUUUGACGUUACCGACAGAAUAAGCACCGGCUAACUCUGUGCCAGCAGCCGCAGUAAUAC